rnacentral:rRNA from 1 species
UGGCGGCGCGCCUAACACAUGCAAGUCGAGCGAUGAAAGUUGUUCAGAUCCUUCGGGUGACGAACUUCUGGAUUAGCGGCGAACGGGUGAGUAACGCGUGAGGAACCUGCCUCUCACAACGGGAUAGCCUCGGGAAACCGGGAUUAAUACCGUAUGACACUAUCAGAUGGCAUCAUCAGGUAGUUAAAGUGCUAGCGGUGAGAGAUGGCCUCGCGUCUGAUUAGUUAGUUGGUGGGGUAACGGCCUACCAAGACGACGAUCAGUAACCGGCCUGAGAGGGUGAACGGUCACAUUGGAACUGAGACACGGUCCAAACUCCUACGGGAGGCAGCAGUGGGGAAUCUUGCACAAUGGGGGAAACCCUGAUGCAGCGACGCCGCGUGAGCGAUGAAGGUUUUCGAAUCGUAAAGCUCUGUCCUAUGGGAAGAUAAUGACGGUACCAUAGGAGGAAGCCCCGGCUAACUACGUGCCAGCAGCCGCGGUAAUACGUAGGGGGCGAGCGUUGUCCGGAAUUACUGGGCGUAAAGGGUUCGCAGGCGGCAUGACAAGUCCGAUGUAAAAGGCGAAAGCUCAACUUUCGUAAGCAUCGGAAACUGUCAAGCUUGAGUGAAGGAGAGGCAAGUGGAAUUCCUAGUGUAGCGGUGGAAUGCGUAGAUAUUAGGAGGAUACCGGUGGCGAAGGCGACUUGCU